GCCUCUUUCGUCUAAUCGGUAAGGACAUUGCGCUUUCACUGCAAAAAUGACGGUUCAAAUCCGUCAAGAGGUA
rnacentral:tRNA from 1 species